rnacentral:rRNA from 1 species
UACGUAGGGUGCAAGCGUUAAUCGGAAUUACUGGGCGUAAAGCGUGCGCAGGCGGUUCGGAAAGAAAGGUGUGAAAUCCCAGGGCUUAACCUUGGAACUGCACUUUUAACUACCGGGCUAGAGUACGUCAGAGGGGGGUAGAAUUCCACGUGUAGCAGUGAAAUGCGUAGAGAUGUGGAGGAAUACCGAUGGCGAAGGCAGCCCCCUGGGAUAACACUGACGCUCAUGCACGAAAGCGUGGGGAGCAAACAGG